rnacentral:rRNA from 1 species
UCGAUGAAGAACGCAGCGAAAUGCGAUAAGUAGUGUGAAUUGCAGAAUUCAGUGAAUCAUCGAAUCUUUGAACGCACAUUGCGCCCUAUGGUAUUCCGUAGGGCAUGCCUGUUCGAGCGUCAUUCAAACCUUCAAGCUCUGCUUGGUGUUGGGCGUCUGUCCUGCCUCACGGCGCGGACUCGCCUCAAAUCUAUUGGCGGCCGGCACGUUGGCUUCGAGCGCAGCAGAAACGCGAACUCGGGCCCGACGGAUCGGCUCCCAGAAGCUACCCCCAUGAAUUUGACCUCGGAUCAGGUAGGGAUACCCGCUGAACUUAA